rnacentral:rRNA from 1 species
UACGGAGGGGGCUAGCGUUGUUCGGAAUUACUGGGCGUAAAGCGCGCGUAGGCGGACCUGCAAGUCGGGGGUGAAAGCCCGAGGCUCAACCUCGGAACUGCCUUCGAUACUGCGGGUCUCGAGUCCGGGAGAGGUGAGUGGAAUCCUAGUGUAGAGGUGAAAUUCGUAGAUAUUAGGAAGAACACCAGUGGCGAAGGCGGCUCACUGGGCCCGGUACUGACGCUGAGGCGCGAAAGCGUGGGGAGCAAACAGGG